rnacentral:rRNA from 1 species
UGGGGAAUAUUGGACAAUGGGGGGAACCCUGAUCCAGCCAUGCCGCGUGUGUGAAGAAGGCCUUAUGGUUGUAAAGCACUUUAAGCGAGGAGGAGGGUACUGGUAUUAAUACUACCAGCUACUGGACGUUACUCGCAGAAUAAGCACCGGCUAACUCUGUGCCAGCAGCCGCGGUAAUACGGAGGGUGCGAGCGUUAAUCGGAUUUACUGGGCGUAAAGCGUGCGUAGGCGGCUAAUUGAGUCGGAUGUGAAAUCCCCGAGCUUAACUUGGGAAUUGCAUUCGAUACUGGUUAGCUAGAGUGUGGGAGAGGAUGGUAGAAUUCCAGGUGUAGCGGUGAAAUGCGUAGAGAUCUGGAGGAAUACCGAUGGCGAAGGCAGCCAUCUGGCCUAACACUGACGCUGAGGUACGAAAGCAUGGGGAGCAAACAGG